UAAUACAGAGGGGGCAAGCGUUAUUCGGAAUUAUUGGGCGUAAAGGGCGCGUAGGCGGCUUGGCAAGUGGAUGGUGAAAUCCCUCGGCUUAACCGAGGAACUGCCGUCCAAACUGCUUCGCUUGAGACCGGGAGAGGUGAGUGGAAUUCCCAGUGUAGCGGUGAAAUGCGUAGAUAUUGGGAGGAACA
rnacentral:rRNA from 1 species